GAGUAUGUGGUUUAGUGGUAUAACAUUCGCUUGGCAUGCGAAAGGGUCCGGCGUUCAAUUUGCCGCUUGUCCA
rnacentral:tRNA from 1 species